ACUCAAAGGAAUAGACGGGGGCUCACACAAGCGGUGGAGCAUGUGGCUUAAUUCGAGGCUACGCGAAGAACCUUAUCCUGGACUUGACAUGUGCGAAAGCGCUAGGAAGUAGGGUGCGGAAACGUUACCCCAACGGUAUCCAGUCCGGAACCUAGUACAGGUGCUGCAUGGCUGUCGUCAGCUCGUGUCGUGAGAUGUCGGGUUAAGUCCCAUAACGAGCGAAACCCUUGUUUCCAGUUGCCAACGAGUAAAGUCGGGGACUCUGGGAAGACUGCCGGUGUUAAACCGCGAGGAAGGCGGGGAUGACGUCAAGUCCUCAUGGCCUUUAUGUCCAGGGCUGCACACGUGCUACAAUGGCGCGUACAAAGGGAUGCCAACUCGCGAGAGGGAGCCAAUCCCAAAAAACGCGCCCCAGUUCAGAUUGCAGGCUGCAACUCGCCUGCAUGAAGUUGGAAUCGCUAGUAAUCGCAGGUCAGCAACACUGCGGUGAAUGUGUUCCUGAGCCUUGCACACACCGCCCGU
rnacentral:rRNA from 1 species